CCGGCUGUAGCGCAGCUUGGUCAGCGCGCUUGCUUCGGGAGCAAGAGGUCCCGGGUUCAAAUCCCGGCAGCCGGACCA
rnacentral:tRNA from 1 species